rnacentral:rRNA from 1 species
GACGAACGCUGGCGGCGUGCUUAACACAUGCAAGUCGAACGGUGAACGAGGGAGCUUGCUCCCUCCGGAUCAGUGGCGAACGGGUGAGUAACACGUGAGCAAUCUGCCCCGAACUCUGGGAUAAGCGUUGGAAACGACGUCUAAUACCGGAUACGACGCGGGAGGGCAUCCUCUCCGCGUGGAAAGAACUUCGGUUCGGGAUGAGCUCGCGGCCUAUCAGCUUGUUGGUGAGGUAACGGCUCACCAAGGCGACGACGGGUAGCCGGCCUGAGAGGGUGACCGGCCACACUGGGACUGAGACACGGCCCAGACUCCUACGGGAGGCAACGGUGGGAAAUAUUGCACAAUGGGCGCAAGCCUGAUGCAGCAACGCCGCGUGAGGGAAGACGGCCUUCGGGUUGUAAACCUCUUUUAGCAGGGAAGAAGCGAAAGUGACGGUACCUGCAGAAAAAGCACCGGCUAACUACGUG